rnacentral:rRNA from 1 species
AGACGUCUACAUUAGAUACCCCCGUAGUCCCAGCCGUAAACGAUGCGCGUUAGGUGUAUCGACGACCACGAGUCGUCGAGGUGCCGAAGGGAAACCGUGAAACGUGCCGCCUGGGAAGUACGGUCGCAAGGCUGAAACUUAAAGGAAUUGGCGGGGAGCACCACAACGGGUGGAGCCUGCGGUUUAAUUGGACUCAACGCCGGGAAGCUCACCGGAUAAGACAGCGGAAUGAUUGCCGGGCUGAAGACUCUGCAUGACUAGCUG